UAAACCUGGUAUCUGCUACUUCAGCUUCCAUUAGCUCUAAAAUCCACUCUGCGACUCAUGUAUCUUCACAAAAGUCCAUGUGAGAAGUGAUAUAGCUCCUGUCUGCACCUGGAAAUGAUUCUGUCUCGACUGAGAAGUUCUUUUAUGUACUGGCUCUAACAAGUUAAAACAAAGAAACAAAUACUGUGAUAGGGAGAAAUUCAAUGCCCGGAAAGAGGACUUUUGGAAAGAAGAUGGAAUGCAGCCUGUAUAGUAGAGAUUAGGCACAGUCCAGUUGCUCAUUCUUUUACGUUCAAUUGACUCUCAUUCUCUUGCUUGAAAAAUAUGUUUUCUAUAGUUGAAUAAGGAUUGUCUAGUAAUAUGGUUGUCCGAGAUUUCUUCUAAAUCCUUAGUUUCGUCAAGGUUUCUUCACGAUAUUGAUUUUUCAUAUUGUUCACUUUAGGGUCAUAUUUAUUAGUGAUAACUGGACGUGAAUGCGUUGGAUCUUAUUUGGGCCACUCCAUUUACAAAGUGACAUCAUUGAAGGUUUUUCCAUGUGAUCAUUUACUCAAGAAUUUUCCUGAAGAACAGAAAAAGAUGGAGAGUGAGUUUUCUCGCUUGCUAAAUGUUGCAGAGAGGACUCCAGUGCUCAGAGGUUGCAAGAUUUGGGUGAUGAAUCAAAAUCGCUGCCCCUUUGGAGACAAGCUGACCCUCAAUUUCUUUGGAACAACUAUAUGCUGGAAGUGCUUAUAGACAACAAGCUUGACCCAUUCCUCCUCCAUAUCAUUCAAGGCAGUAUCCUUUUAAUUGUCCUGAUGUUUCAGUACCUCAUGCCAUGUUAUGGUUGGCAUAAGCAUAUCAUAAUUUUACAUUAAGUGAUGCCUAGAUAAGUUAUUAGGCUUUCAACACAUUCAAGCAGCCAUUGGGAAGGAUAUCCUUGAUGUUACACUAAUUGGACGAAGAUGCACAAGAAGAACAGGCACACGAAUGUGGAGACGAGGAGCUGAUUCUAAUGGUUUUGUAGCAAAUUUCGUGGAGAGUGAACAAAUCAUACAAAUUAAUGGGCACACUGUGUCCUUUAUUCAGGUGGAGGGUCAAUGCCAUUUCUUUGGGAUCAGAUUGUUGAUGACAUAUAAGCCAAAGUUUGAAAUCGUGAGACCUGAGGAAGCACAUAGAGUGGCUGAAAGACAUUUCUUAGAUCUAAGAAACAAAUAUGGCAGCGUUCUUGCGGUUGAUUUAGUGAACAAGGUACAUGGAAUCAUUUUUUUUUUUGCAAAGGGUAGAUU